ensembl:snRNA U6 U6 spliceosomal RNA
GUGCUCACUUCAGCAGCACAUACACUAAAAUUGGAAUGAUACAGGGAAGAUUAGCAUGGCCCCUGCACAAGGAUGACACACAAAUUAGUGAAGCAUUCCAUAUUUUU